rnacentral:rRNA from 1 species
AGUAGAUAGAAAGUUACUUCGGUACAUCGGUGACAGGUGGUGGCAUGGUUGUCGUCAGCUCGUGUCGUGAGAUGUUGGGUUAAGUCCCGCAACGAGCGCAACCCUAUUGUUAGUUGCCAUCAUUCAGUUGGGCACUCUAGCGAGACUGCCGGUAAUAAACCGGAGGAAGGUGGGGAUGACGUCAAAUCAUCAUGCCCCUUAUGACCUGGGCUACACACGUGCUACAAUGGUUGGUACAACGAGUUGCGAGUCGGUGACGGCGAGCUAAUCUCUUAAAGCCAAUCUCAGUUCGGAUUGUAGGCUGCAACUCGCCUACAUGAAGUCGGAAUCGCUAGUAAUCGCGGAUCAGCACGCCGCGGUCGAAUACGUUCCCGGGCCUU